GGGAGGCGGUUGCCAAGGACGCUAUAGCGCUUAGUAACUGUGGUCCGCGGAAGACAAGCUAGGUCCUAGAGAAGAAAGAGCACCCACCAUCAGGUCUUGCCUCUGCUAUACACGUGAUAUGUGGUGAAUGAAUGAAUGAAAGAAUGAAACGUCAUAGAUCUAGAAAGAGGGACCAUAUUCCCUCUUGGCACUUACUGGUUCUCCAAUUUGUAAAUCACUCCAGAGUCAAUGACAGAAUUCUUCGAUCACCGUGCGAGUCUGUCCUCAAAGGUAUUACCACCUAGUGGGAAAUGGACAAAAUUCCCAUGGUGUAGGCCCCACUGUGGUCACACUACCAGAAAAAAGCCCAGUCUUUUCGGAGUUCAGAAGAGGAAAAAGCACCAUUACCCAGGGAAUCCUAAAAGGGUAGUUUACUGCUUAUACAGAAAAAUCUCAUAGAUCUUAAGCUGGCAUAAGAAGCUUGUGGAAAUACAAGUGGAUAGAUGUGUGUAUUUUUAUAAAAUAUGUGA